GAUGAACGCUGGCGGCGUGCUUAACACAUGCAAGUCGAACGGUGAAGGAGAGCUUGCUCUCUGGAUCAGCGGCGAACGGGUGAGUAACACGUGAGCAAUCUGCCCCUGACUCUGGGAUAACAGUUGGAAACAGCUGCUAAUACCGGAUACGAGCUUCGAAGGCAUCUUCAGAAGCUGGAAAGAACUUCGGUCAGGGAUGAGCUCGCGGCCUAUCAGCUAGUUGGUGAGGUAAUGGCUCACCAAGGCGUCGACGGGUAGCCGGCCUGAGAGGGUGACCGGCCACACUGGGACUGAGACACGGCCCAGACUCCUACGGGAGGCAGCAGUGGGGAAUAUUGCACAAUGGGCGCAAGCCUGAUGCAGCAACGCCGCGUGAGGGACGACGGCCUUCGGGUUGUAAACCUCCUUUAGCAGGGAAGAAGCGAAAGUGACGGUACCUGCAGAAAAAGCGCCGGCUAACUACGUGCCAGCAGCCGCGGUAAUACGUAGGGCGCAAGCGUUAUCCGGAAUUAUUGGGCGUAAAGAGCUCGUAGGCGGUUUGUCGCGUCUGCUGUGAAAACUGGAGGCUCAACCUCCAGCCUGCAGUGGGUACGGGCAGACUAGAGUGCGGUAGGGGAGAUUGGAAUUCCUGGUGUAGCGGUGGAAUGCGCAGAUAUCAGGAGGAACACCGAUGGCGAAGGCAGAUCUCUGGGCCGUAACUGACGCUGAGGGGCGAAAGGGUG
rnacentral:rRNA from 1 species